rnacentral:rRNA from 1 species
CGCCGCGUGAGGGAUGAAGGCCUUCGGGUCGUAAACCUCUUUAGAAGGGAAGAAGCGCAAGUGACGGUACCUGCAGAAGAAGCACCGGCUAACUACGUGCCAGCAGCCGCGGUAAUACGUAGGGUGCAAGCGUUGUCCGGAAUUAUUGGGCGUAAAGAGCUCGUAGGCGGUCUGUCGCGUCUGCUGUGAAAACCUAGGGCUUAACUCUGGGCGUGCAGUGGGUACGGGCAGGCUAGAGUGCGGUAGGGGAGACUGGAAUUCCUGGUGUAGCGGUGAAAUGCGCAGAUAUCAGGAGGAACACCGGUGGCGAAGGCGGGUCUCUGGGCCGUAACUGACGCUGAGGAGCGAAAGCAUGGGGAGCGAACAGGAUUAGAUACCCUGGUAGUCCAUGCCGUAAACGUUGGGCGCUAGGUGUGGGGCACAUUCCACGUGUUCUGCGCCGCAGCUAACGCAUUAAGCGCCCCGCCUGGGGAGUACGGCCGCAAGGCUAAAACUCAAAGGAAUUGACGGGGGCCCGCACAAGCGGCGGAGCAUGCGGAUUAAUUCGAUGCAACGCGAAGAACCUUACCAAGGCUUGACAUGGGGCGUUUACCGGCAGAGAUGUCGGGUCCGCA